CCCGAAAGGAAAGCUCCUACUUACAUUACUAAUGAACUGAAAACACUACAACACAACCUGGAGAGCUCGUUACAAAUUCAGUCACAAAUUGUACACAAGUUGUUAGAUAAUUAGUGUUCCACAGAGGACAAGUGUGCUUGAUGUGGAGAGAAGAAAAAUAGCUUUUAUUUUUUUUUCAUCGUUGCACGCUUCAUUGAAUUGUCCUAUCGACGGCAAAAUGGAGAGAAGACGAUGACAGGAAGAAAAUAAAUUGCAUUGUCAAGUAGAGAACACCAGACAAAAGAGAAGAGGAGGUAAAAAAGAGAAAUACAGGUCACAUACCUAUUUGAACUUGCGUUCAGGCCUGUGCGUUUGAACUUGUUAUUCAAGCACUUCACGAUAAGGCUUAAUCUAACUUUCACCUGUGUACCCCACCGGUGUGUGGAUUUUUCAAGUAUCCAGAAUACGUAAUUGCCAUUUCAUUGAUGCACUAACAGUAUUUAUCAAGCACUAGAGG